AUCCCGUUGAAACAUCGGUUUCCUUACGAUCACCGAAGUUAAGCAACGUCCAGCCUUGUCAGUGCCUAGAUGGGUGACUGCUUGGGAAUACCAGGCGCUGUAAG